UUUUAUGGAGAGUUUGAUCCUGGCUCAGAGUGAACGCUGGCGGCGUGCCUAAUACAUGCAAGUCGAACGAUGAAGCUUCUAGCUUGCUAGAGUGCUGAUUAGUGGCGCACGGGUGAGUAACGCAUAGGUCAUGUGCCUCUUAGUUUGGGAUAGCCAUUGGAAACGAUGAUUAAUACCAGAUACUCCCUACGGGGGAAAGAUUUAUCGCUAAGAGAUCAGCCUAUGUCCUAUCAGCUUGUUGGUAAGGUAAUGGCUUACCAAGGCUAUGACGGGUAUCCGGCCUGAGAGGGUGAACGGACACACUGGAACUGAGACACGGUCCAGACUCCUACGGGAGGCAGCAGUAGGGAAUAUUGCUCAAUGGGGGAAACCCUGAAGCAGCAACGCCGCGUGGAGGAUGAAGGUUUUAGGAUUGUAAACUCCUUUUGUUAGAGAAGAUAAUGACGGUAUCUAACGAAUAAGCACCGGCUAACUCCGUGCCAGCAGCCGCGGUAAUACGGAGGGUGCAAGCGUUACUCGGAAUCACUGGGCGUAAAGAGCGCGUAGGCGGGAUAGUCAGUCAGGUGUGAAAUCCUAUGGCUUAACCAUAGAACUGCAUUUGAAACUACUAUUCUAGAGUGUGGGAGAGGUAGGUGGAAUUCUUGGUGUAGGGGUAAAAUCCGUAGAGAUCAAGAGGAAUACUCAUUGCGAAGGCGACCUGCUGGAACAUUACUGACGCUGAUUGCGCGAAAGCGUGGGGAGCAAACAGGAUUAGAUACCCUGGUAGUCCACGCCCUAAACGAUGGAUGCUAGUUGUUGGAGGGCUUAGUCUCUCCAGUAAUGCAGCUAACGCAUUAAGCAUCCCGCCUGGGGAGUACGGUCGCAAGAUUAAAACUCAAAGGAAUAGACGGGGACCCGCACAAGCGGUGGAGCAUGUGGUUUAAUUCGAAGAUACACGAAGAACCUUACCUAGGCUUGACAUUGAGAGAAUCCGCUAGAAAUAGUGGAGUGUCUGGCUUGCCAGACCUUGAAAACAGGUGCUGCACGGCUGUCGUCAGCUCGUGUCGUGAGAUGUUGGGUUAAGUCCCGCAACGAGCGCAACCCCCUUUCUUAGUUGCUAACAGGUCAUGCUGAGAACUCUAAGGAUACUGCCUCCGUAAGGAGGAGGAAGGUGGGGACGACGUCAAGUCAUCAUGGCCCUUACGCCUAGGGCUACACACGUGCUACAAUGGGCAUGAAGCUGGAAUCGCUAGUAAUCGCAAAUCAGCCAUGUUGCGGUGAAUACGUUCCCGGGUCUUGUACUCACCGCCCGUCACACCAUGGGAGUUGUGUUUGCCUUAAGUCAGGAUGCUAAAUUGGCUACUGCCCACGGCACACACAGCGACUGGGGUGAAGUCGUAACAAGGUAACCGUAGGUGAACCUGCGGUUGGAUCACCUCCUUUCUAGA
rnacentral:rRNA from 1 species